UAUUUUUUUGGUAGAGGCAGUAAUCACUUUAUUUUAGAAGCAGAGUGUCAUUUAUUUGGAGUCUGCUCAUCAUCGCUCGCUUUUAAACUUCUGUUCAAUUUAAAUAGAAAGGUUGGAAUAUCGUGACUCAAAAUGUUGACCCAUACUUGCCUUGUUAUAAUAGCAGUUUUAACAUGUUUUGCGGAAACAAACGCCAUCAUGUGCUACAAUUGCACGAGUAAAAUCGACCGUAAUUGUGGUGUCACACUCCCUUA